rnacentral:tRNA from 1 species
GCGCCCGUAGCUCAGUCCGGAUAGAGCGGCGGACUUCUAAUCCGAAGGUCGGAGGUUCGAGUCCUCCCGGGCGCG